rnacentral:tRNA from 1 species
GCAUGUGUGGCUCAGUGGUAUAAGCCGCUUGGCUACCUUAUCCAGGGAGCCUGAGUUCAAAUCUCAACUCAUGCU